rnacentral:lncRNA from 1 species
UACUUGAUAACAUUAGUUUUGAUUUUAUGUUUUUCAUUUAAAUUUUAUUGCAUAAUUUAAAUAACAUAUUUUUGUAAUAGUUAAAUACGCCAUUAAACAUAAAAUUUAAAAACACCUAAAACAUAAAAAAAAAUAACAUAAAAAUUAAAAACACCUAAAACAUCAUAUUACCCCAUUGUUAAAAUCACAUAAUUAAAAUCCUAGUCUAG